CGGUGUCGUGCGGGAGGCGUACGUACCGCCGUUCGCGCCGUCGGUGACCCAUGGCUCCCUCGGGGAUCUGCCGUUCGACAACGCGGCCGCCGC
rnacentral:tRNA from 1 species